UACGGAGGGGGCUAGCGUUAUUCGGAAUUAUUGGGCGUAAAGGGCGCGUAGGCGGCCCGGUAAGUCAAAGGUGAAAUCCCUCGGCUCAACUGAGGAACUGCCUUUGAAACUGUCGGGCUUGAGGCCGGGAGGGGGUAGCGGAAUUCCCAGUGUAGCGGUGAAAUGCGAAGAUACUGGGAGGAACACCAGUGGCGAAGGCGGCUACCUGGACCGGUUCUGACGCUGAUGCGCGAAAGCGUGGGUAGCAAACAGG
rnacentral:rRNA from 1 species